rnacentral:rRNA from 1 species
UACGUAGGGGGCAAGCGUUGUCCGGAAUCAUUGGGCGUAAAGAGCGUGUAGGCGGCCCGGUAAGUCCGCCGUGAAAGUCUAGGGCUCAACCCUGGAAUGCCGGUGGAAACUGCCGGGCUGGAGUCCGGAAGAGGCGAGUGGAAUUCCUGGUGUAGCGGUGAAAUGCGCAGAUAUCAGGAGGAACACCAACGGCGAAGGCAGCUCGCUGGGACGGUACUGACGCUGAGACGCGAAAGCGUGGGGAGCAAACAGG